GCUCCGAAGCAGCUAUGGCUGCCCCCGGAGUGGCCAUUGCAUAGCAACAGCCCCUGUGAGAUUUCUCAAACGUUAAAACCCUCAUCAUAACCUGUUUACAAGAUUCACUGAAGCAUCGCUGUCUUCCUUCGCUCUGAGCAGCUUUCUUGUUUACGCCUGUGUUGCCUGCCUGUCCCAUCCCCGAGUGUGAUUUUCUUAUCUGUAGGGUUAAUUGCUCCAUUCUCGGAAUCUGACAUCGAGUCUAGAAUCCAAGAAAUAUUGGUCGAACAAAGGAAUUUUUAAUGAGAAAAAUAACAUAAAAGAUCCUGUUGUUUACUGGAAGACAAAUCUGCCGUAUUAUCAGAAGCUGAUUUUGAGCCGUCGAAGGACUCACAGGCGAGAAAUGAGGAGAUCAAGCUGACUUCCUGAAAAGAUACCACCGAAGGACUUGUGCAGAGAAAAUGCAUCUUCCUAGUCUAGGCGAGAAGACACAGAGUCAUCAGCACAGGGAAGCAGAGAUUGGCAGAGAAAGAGAACGAGCCCAUGAGCCAUCGGAGUCGUUUCUUCCUUUUCCUGACUUCAAAGCAACUCCUUUAAGCCCAACCCCAGAAGACUGCAUCAGGAAAGAAUGUGUGACCCUGCCCCCCAGGCUCUGCACACACUUGAGGUCGGCUCCCAUCACCGGCUGUCUUCCUCGCCCACGUAACCCUGUGCCAUGGGUUAGAUUCAAAGGUACCAUCAAAAGGACCUGACUAAUGCUUGUCUAAGGCUUUCACCGGAGACAAAGACCCUGACAAAAACAAAGAAACAGAUUUGAAUGCCUGAUGUGUCAUCCACUACUGUGAAGUUCAAGACCCUGCCACCAAAAUCUGUUCUGUAGAAAGGGACUCGAUAGUUUCUCAGGAAAUAUCUACCAUGGCUUCUUCAGACUUCAUCCUUGGUUGCUGUGGGGAUGCAGCUGACCUGUCAUCAGGUUGUUCAGUGGGCUAGCCAAAGCACUUCUGAGGUUUGAGAAUGAGUGAUGAGUAAUGUAGUAAGGAAAUGCAGUGAAGAGAACUGCGAGGAAAGUAGGAAAUCACUGUGACUUGUUAAUUUUAAGUGCUUGUUAAUAUUAGCUGAUUAAUUUGAAAUGUUUAAUAGAGUAGAAAUGGGCAAUCUGUUGUCUCAGAGAUAUGAAUGAUUGCCAUCAAAGUGGUCAAUGAGAAAGAAAAUGGCAUACUUUGGAGUUACUUCCAACUCUAUCGAUUGUUUUUGAGACUCUGAGCCAAACCUUGUGGAUUUCUAUAGCAACCUCACCCCCCUCCUCCCAUCUUGAGAUAAAGAAGUCUUAAGUUC